rnacentral:rRNA from 1 species
CAGGUAGUAACAGAGGGUUCGAUCAUGGCUCAGAUUAUCGCUGGUCGGAUGCUUUUACACAUGCAAGUCGAACGGCAGCACGACUCCUGGUCUGCGGCGAGUGGCGAACGGGAAUGAGUAAUGUAUCGGAACGUGCCUAGUAGCGGGAUGCCAAUUCAUGCCGAAACAGUAGCUAAUACCGCAUACGCCCUUCGGGGGAAAAAGCGGGGGACCUUCGGGCCUCGCACCAUUAGAGCGGCCAUGAUACUGAUUAACUAGUUGGUGGUAACGGCUCACCAAGGCGACGAUCCGUAGCUGGUUUGAGGACGACCAGCCACACUGGGACUGAGACACGGCCCAGACUCCUACGGGAGGCAGCAGUGUGGGGAAUUUUGGACAAUGGGGGAAACCCUGAUCCAGCCAUCCCGCGUGUGUGACGCGAAGGCCUUCGGUUCACAGCACUUUUGGCAGGAGCACACCACACGAUAAUACCCUCGCAACUGACGGUACCGCAGAAUAAGAACCGCUAACCAUGCCGGCAGCCGCGGUGGCCGUAGGGCGUAAGCAGCACCAUCCGCCCGGCGUCAGCGUGCGCAGGCGGUUCGGAAAGAAAGAUGUACAAACCAGAGCUUAACUUUGAACUACGCAAUAAUUACCGAGCUAGAGUGUGUCAGAGGGAGGUGGAAUUCCGCGUGUAGCAGUGAACGCAUGAUUGCACGGAGGGAACAACCGAUGGCGCAACAGUCCGGGAUAACACUGACGCUCAUGCAACCGAAAGCGUUAAGAUAAACACAGGAUUAGAUACCCUGGGUAGUCCACGCCCUAAAACGAUGCUGACUAGCCGUUGGGGCCUCGGGCCUUUGGCAGCUAACGCGUGAAGUUGACCGCCCGGGGAGGCUGGUCGCAAGAUUAAACUCAAAGGAAUUGACGCUGACCCGCACAAGCGGUGGAUGAUGUGAUUAAUUCGAUGCAACGCGAAAACCCACUACCCUUGACAUGUCUGAAUCCCGAAGAGAUUUGGGAGUGUCGCAACACAGAGAACUGAACAAUUGCAGCGUAUGGCUGUCGCGUCAGCUCGUGUCGUGAGAUGUUGGGUUAAGUCCUGACAACGAGCGCAACCCUUGUCAUUAGUUGCUACGAAAGGGCACUCUAAUGAGACUGCCGGUGACAAACUGAGGGGAAGGUGGGGAUGACGUCAAGUCCUCAUGGCCCUUAUGGGUAGGGCUUCACACGUCAUACAAUGGUCGGGACAGAGGGUCGCUAACCCGCGAGGGGGGAGCUAAUCCAGAAACCCGAUCGUAGUCCGGAUCGCAGUUCGUACUGACUGCGAAGUUUGAACGCUCGCAAUCGCGGAUCACAUGUCGCGGUGAAUACGUUCCCGGGUCUUGUACACACUGCCCGUCACACCAUGGGAGUGGGUUUUACCAGAAGUAGUUAGUCGAAUCAUGAGGGCGAUUACUACGGUAGGAUUCAUGACUGGGGUGAAGUCGUAACAAGGUAA